ACACUCAGGGAGUACACCAUGUGAAGACUGGACUUAAACAGCUACACCACCAGAAGCCGAGAGAGAGGCUGGAACAUAGCCUUCCCUUUGGAGGUAGCCUGGCCCGGUGGGCACUGUGAUCUCAGACUUCCAGCCUUCAGAACUGUGAGACAAUAUUUUAUUGUUUAAGCCACUUAUUUUUUGGUACUUUCUUACGGCAGCCCUAGCAGAUGCUAAUCCAGCGUGCGUCCUGACAGAGGUUGAAGGGGGCUUCUCAAGUCCCAGGUCCAGCUUGGUGUGGUUCAGCUACUCAAGAGACAUCUGCUGCUAAUGGAUGAGCAGUCAACCUGGACGCAGGAAAUCAUUUUUUAUUUGGGGCAAAGAGGCAGAGGAAUGGAGCUCAGAGCUUUUAGAGAAUAUGGGCCAGAAACAGGAAGGAGUCAGGACCUGAUAACGGGAACCAGCGGACAGUGAACGCAGUGGAGGGCCACUGGGGCCGGAGCAGCCGAGAGAUUUCAGGAGACAAGCAAAGUGGAUCAGCAAAGGCUGCAGUCACCAGCAUCUUUUCCAACCUUAAUGAACUGUAUCCUCAAAAGAACACUAUCAGACUGGUAAGACAAGCAUUAUUGUCCCACUUCACAGAUGAAGAGCUUGGGGGCCCUGUGGAUGUGUAGGAGAGUCGGCCUUCCUUUUUAUAGGCCUUUUGCUGAGCUCAGAGGACAGAGCAGAAGACAAAGCCGAAAGCAGCCCUAAGCAGACACUAUCCCAGCCCAAGGAGCUAUGCAGACAGCUCCUGCCUAGAGGAGAAACAAUUCUCUCCUUCAGCCAGGCAUGUGGCACAGAGGUGAACAGGAAAUGCUUAGGGAGACAGUUCACAGAUAUAUAUGUACUUCACAGGGCACAAUUUAAUCCAUAAAUCAAUCAUGGAUCACUGCUAAAGAAAACAAAAUAUGCUGCCACUAAUUUGCCACCACCCUGUGAGCAUGAUUGGAUGAUGUUUAUUUUGAUUAGGAGAUUGCUCCAUUUAUAAAUCUUCAAUACAUCCUGUCCCCCUAAAACGGCAUCUGGAUCUUUUGAGGGUUAAAAAAAAAAAAAGUGAAAUUGGAUGAGGGAUGAGAGCUGGACUUCUGUGUGUCCCGGGGUCUCUGGAUCCACAGCCUGGUGCCUAGCAUCAGUUAAGCCCACGCUGGGGUCGCAUCACAUCCCGCAAAGCCACGUGCUCUGUGAGGCCAACAGGAGCCCCGCCGGGUGGACCAGCUGGAAUCUCAGAGAGCGCCGACUCUGAAAAUACCCGGCUCUGCAGAAGCACGCUGGGCCCAGGGGGCUUCUAGACUGACAGCUCCAUUUAUCAACUACCUAUUGGUUUUAAAAAUUGGAGUGUCUUUUCCGCGUUGACUGAUUUUGGCUCUAAGAGAUGUCGCUGGUCAUUUCAGAGUGACUGAACCUCCCCUCUAACAGAUCCCGGGAAUUGUUUUCAGGAAAGGUAAAAGGCAGCCUUUUCUGUCACAACACAACGCUGAGCCGGCAGC
rnacentral:lncRNA from 10 species